rnacentral:rRNA from 1 species
UCGAACGGUAACAUAAAGAAGCUUGCUUCUUUGAUGACGAGUGCCGUUACGGGUGAGUAAUGCUUGGGAAUCUGGCUUAUGGAGGGCGAUAACUACGGGAAACUGUAGCUAAUACCGCGUAGAAUCGGGAGAUGAAAGUGUGGGACCUUCGGGCCACAUGCCAUAGGAUGAGCCCAAGUGGGAUUAGGUAGUUGGUGAGGUAAAGGCUCACCAAGCCGACGAUCUCUAGCUGGUCUGAGAGGAUGACCAGCCACACUGGGACUGAGACACGGCCCAGACUCCUACGGGAGGCAGCAGUGGGGAAUAUUGCGCAAUGGGGGCAACCCUGACGCGGCCAUGCCGCGUGAAUGAAGAAGGCCUUCGGGUUGUAAAGUUCUUUCGGUAGCGAGGAAGGCAUUUAGUUUAAUAGACUAGGUGAUUGACGUUAACUACAGAAGAAGCACCGGCUAACUCCGUGCCAGCAGCCGCGGUAAUACGGAGGGUGCGAGCGUUAAUCGGAAUAACUGGGCGUAAAGGGCACGCAGGCGGUGACUUAAGUGAGGUGUGAAAGCCCCGGGCUUAACCUGGGAAUUGCAUUUCAUACUGGGUCGCUAGAGUACUUUAGGGAGGGGUAGAAUUCCACGUGUAGCGGUGAAAUGCGUAGAGAUGUGGAGGAAUACCGAAGGCGAAGGCAGCCCCUUGGGAAUGUACUGACGCUCAUGUGCGAAAG